rnacentral:lncRNA from 1 species
GAAAAGAAAAUUGUUGUUAUGACGAAAAAUGUUCAAAAGCAAGAAAGGUCUCUGAUUUAAAACUUUAUCAUUUAACUUUCAUAUAGAUCAUUGAUUUGAGUGGGUACUUCAAAGUCGUUUCAGUGUCAAGCACGUGUUUCAAGCAUAUAGUUUUACUUAUUUACGAUGGUCUAGAAAAAAACUGUCGUUAUGAAGAAAUCUAUUCAAAAGGUUGGCAUGAGAGUAACCCUUCAAUGUAAUGACUACAUCUUACAUGAGGGAUCAAUUCCAAGUGAUAAGAUGCUUCGUUUUGUUGUAAAAAUCACUUCCUAUUUAGGGGGAAGGGGGGGGGGGGGGGGGUGCUGAGAAAAAAAGGAAAAUUUAAAAAGAAAAAUAUAUUGUGU